rnacentral:rRNA from 1 species
AUUGAACGCUAGCGGCAUGCUUUACACAUGCAAGUCGAACGGCAGCACGGGUGCUUGCACCUGGUGGCGAGUGGCGGACGGGUGAGUAAUACAUCGGAACGUGUCCUGAAGUGGGGGAUAACGCAUCGAAAGAUGUGCUAAUACCGCAUAUUCUCUGAGGAGGAAAGUAGGGGAUCGAAAGACCUUAUGCUUUUGGAGCGGCCGAUGUCUGAUUAGCUAGUUGGUAAGGUAAUGGCUUACCAAGGCGACGAUCAGUAGUUGGUCUGAGAGGACGACCAGCCACACUGGGACUGAGACACGGCCCAGACUCCUACGGGAGGCAGCAGUGGGGAAUUUUGGGACAAUGGGCGCAAGCCUGAUCCAGCAAUGCCGCGUGAGUGAAGAAGGCC